GUCCCUGUAGAGCAAUGGAUACCGCGUUUGACUUCUAAUCCAAAUGCCGUGGGCUUAAAUCCCACCUGGGAUG